UAUUCUGCCCCACGGGGAAGGAUGAGAAGCUUCGACUAAGGUUCGACUCGAGCGUAGCGAGAGAACGUUGCCGCAGGCAACGGCCCGAAGGGCGAGGCGCUUUAGCGCCGAGUCAUCCUUCCCCCAC
rnacentral:sRNA from 1 species